UACUGACCCGGCGCAUUUUAAUGAAAGGAGAAGAUCAGUAGACUGGAGCCUGGAGGGACUGACAGUGAGAGAGUAUCAUUGCGAGCAACACUGGAGAUGAAGAUUUGCGCGAGCUUCGGGUGCCGGAUAUUCGAGAUCUUGCUCUUGCUCCGCCCUCCGCCGUGGAAGCUAACUUCGUCUCUUGCUUCGCUGCAGCUUCUUCUUUCACCGAUUGAACCCUCUUUCAAAUAUGUAUUGCCAUGUUGAACCCUAAGUUUUGCUCUGCUCUGAUCUAGCUGGUUAUGUGAAUUUCAGGGUACCGAUUGUGUUUUCCGUGUUUGAAUUUGUGAAGAUUUUGUGAAGCCAGGACACGGUCAAUAAAUUUACCGCCGUGCAAACGGAAAUCCAAUUCAAUAAGAACUGAUUGUUUCUUGUAAGCUGCGAUCAAAAGCUUGUGUGUGAUUGGUUUGGCUCCUACACAUGUUGCUUUUAACGAUGAAGGAGGAAUCGCAGUUGUCGAUUUCAAUGUUGGCAAGUCUAAAGGAGUGGCGUGAAAAUCACUGGAACUUGAAAAAGGCCUGAUAGAGAAGGAUAUGUUGCUAUUAUCAUGCCAAAGCCUGCAGAUUUGCUCAAGACUAAGGGUUCUUUACUGAGCCAUGAAGAAUACAAGAAAUUGAGAGGGGAAAGGCUUGACAAUUGGAAUACUUGAAAUUUUUGAUAGAAUGUAAAGUGAGAUGCUUUUUACAUAUCGAUUAGUUGGAACUUUGUCUCUCCUUUUUUGGGAUCAACAGUUGGUUUUCUUUCCUUGAUGAAGUCAGUCACCUC